GGGCCCGUGGGGUAGUUUGGUAUCCUACCGGCUUUGGGAGCCGGCGACCCGUGUUCAAAUCACGGCGGGCCCA
rnacentral:tRNA from 1 species